UUCGCCCUUAGAGUUUGAUCCUGGCUCAGGACGAACGCUGGCGGCGCGCCUAACACAUGCAAGUCGAACGAGCGAGAGAGAGCUUGCUUUCUCAAGCGAGUGGCGAACGGGUGAGUAACGCGUGAGGAACCUGCCUCAAAGAGGGGGACAACAGUUGGAAACGACUGCUAAUACCGCAUAAGCCCACGACCCGGCAUCGGGUAGAGGGAAAAGGAGCAAUCCGCUUUGAGAUGGCCUCGCGUCCGAUUAGCUAGUUGGUGAGGUAACGGCCCACCAAGGCGACGAUCGGUAGCCGGACUGAGAGGUAGAACGGCCACAUUGGGACCGAGACACGGCCCAGACUCCUACGGGAGGCAGCAGUGGGGAAUAUUGCACAAUGGGGGAAACCCUGAUGCAGCGACGCCGCGUGGAGGAAGAAGGUCUUCGGAUUGUAAACUCCUGUUGUUGAGGAAGAUAAUGACGGUACUCAACAAGGAAGUGACGGCUAACUACGUGCCAGCAGCCGCGGUAAAACGUAGGUCACAAGCGUUGUCCGGAAUUACUGGGUGUAAAGGGAGCGCAGGCGGGAAGACAAGUUGGAAGUGAAAUCCAUGGGCUCAACCCAUGAACUGCUUUCAAAACUGUUUUUCUUGAGUAGUGCAGAGGUAGGCGGAAUUCCCGGUGUAGCGGUGGAAUGCGUAGAUAUCGGGAGGAACACCAGUGGCGAAGGCGGCCUACUGGGACCAACUGACGCUGAGGCUCGAAAGUGUGGGUAGCAAACAGGAUUAGAUACCCUGGUAGUCCACACUGUAAACGAUGAUUACUAGGUGUUGGAGGAUUGGCCCCUUCAGUGCCGCAGUUAACACAAUAAGUAAUCCACCUGGGGAGUACGACCGCAAGGUUGAAACUCAAAGGAAUUGACGGGGGCCCGCACAAGCAGUGGAGUAUGUGGUUUAAUUCGACGCAACGCGAAGAACCUUACCGAGUCUUGACAUCCUGCGACGAUGCUGGAAACAGUAUUUUCCUUCGGGACGCAGAGACAGGUGGUGCAUGGUUGUCGUCAGCUCGUGUCGUGAGAUGUUGGGUUAAGUCCCGCAACGAGCGCAACCCUUAUGGUCAGUUACUACGCAAGAGGACUCUGGCCAGACUGCCGUUGACAAAACGGAGGAAGGUGGGGAUGACGUCAAAUCAUCAUGCCCUUUAUGACUUGGGCUACACACGUACUACAAUGGCGUUAAACAAAGAGAAGCAAGACCGCGAGGUGGAGCAAAACUCAGAAACAACGUCCCAGUUCGGACUGCAGGCUGCAACUCGCCUGCACGAAGUCGGAAUUGCUAGUAAUCGUGGAUCAGCAUGCCACGGUGAAUACGUUCCCGGGCCUUGUACACACCGCCCGUCA
rnacentral:rRNA from 1 species